CGAAUGUUACUCACGUCUUUUAAAGCGUAAAGGUAUGAUGGGUUGAUGUAUGUGGCUGGAGUUGGACACAAAAUAGUUUCAAUCCAAAAGACUGAAUAGAGUACAGAAAUCCUCAGCUGCAUAGUUAUUUGUCUUUAAUUUGUUAGCUAAAGUACCUAUUGGGAUGCCCUUCUUUCCUAAGAAAUAAUUGGCCCAUAAGCCAGUUAUCUCACUAUUUUU
rnacentral:lncRNA from 1 species